GGGCAUAUAGCUCAGAUGGUUAGAGCGCGUCGCUGAUAACGACGAGGUCUCUGGUUCGAGUCCAGAUAUGCCCACUA
rnacentral:tRNA from 2 species